GGCUAAGUGCUCCGAGUGGUUAAGGGGUGAGACUUGAAUUUGUCCUUUUAAUUCGAGUUAUCUCAUGGCGAAAGCCUCGCAAGUUCAAAUCUUGUCUUAGUCG
rnacentral:tRNA from 1 species